rnacentral:lncRNA from 1 species
GUUAAAUUUAAAGGCAUCUACAAAGUUCCAGGAAGGAUUGUGAGAGGAAGUGACUAGGACGGAAACAUUGAGCUGGAUGCAAAUUAAAUACUUUAAAAAGCAAAUUAAAGUGUAUUAGAAGGUUUUAAUUAUAUAACAUGAUUGAUUUCUUUGAGUCAUUUUCAUAUAUAAUGUAUCUUAUCUUAUUCAUCCCAUUAUUUUUUUUAUGCCUACAUAUGCUUCUGUUUCUUCUUCCAUAAACUGUCCUUUUCCCUUUUCUCCUUCCUCCUUCCCUCUAUCCCUUAUUUUCUAUUUACUUCUUUUCUUCUACCUUCUCACCCUCCUUUUUCCCCUUUAUUGUUUUCUUCACUGACCAUUAUCUCAUUUGUUCUUUUGCUUUAUUAUUUUGAGUAGACAUGUAAUAAUUUGUAAAUAAUUUUCUGGAGAAGGUUCUUAUACAGCAAUCAGUGGUAACUUUGUAGGCUUAUAACUGGUCAAAGUGCUGAGCAUAGGGACUGUUGAAACCUCACAUGAACAUGAGAAUACUUUAUCAUUCCUCAAACUAUCUUGAAGGAGAUAAUAAUUGGUAAAUAAUAAGUGCCAAAAAGGAUGUGUGAUAGGUUUGAACAUCUUUCAAACAUAACAUCACUAUUAUACCAUUGGUCUCACAGAACAUGUCAUUACUGGCACAAAACCUGUGCAAGUUUGGAUCUGUUAACCUUCUGUCAUGGGAAGCAGAGAAGGGCUCAUGAACACCAUAGUAGAAACUUUAUGACAGCUUGGCUUUGUACAAAUUUGGCAAUUAUUCUACAGUGGUAAUAUUUCUGAAAAAAUAAUUUGACACUUGCUCAUCCAGCAGCCAUCGAUGUUAAUUUCAUAUGAUCAAACUAUUGGUGAGUACACAUUUAUCGUAAUUGGAAUUUUAAUGGUUUUUCAUUAAUUAUCGACCAACACUGAAUGCAACCAGAAUUAUUUCUCAGAAACCCCUUAGAACAGCACAAAUUCUUGGAUAUAACCUGAAACACAUAUUUUUGUGUGUGAAAAUGACCAUUUAGAAUAGCAUCAAAUAAUUUUAUGCUAGGACGUACAAUGUCCGUCGACAUGUUUUUUAUGUAUGUUUGCAGUGCCAUGCCUCAUUUUUUAGCCUCUGAAGGAAGCCUCAAUUGCGAUAAAGAAAGCGGUUGUUUAGUCCUAUAGACCGUUUCACUGGUACUGUACUUUUGGCACAUUUUGCCUCUCAUGUCAUUAUUGUAGCCUGCAAUGUCCAGCAGUACGUAAAUAAAUCACUAUCUUUGAUCUUGCUAAUAAUCU